UAAUUCAACCGGGGAUUCGUUUAACCGACUGACCAUGAUCUUGAAUCAAUCCCAUGGAUGCAUGCAUAUAUGAGUGUACAUAAGUGUGAUGCUGCUUAUGCCAGCUAUUAUGCUGCUAUACAUGUUGGUGGCUUUAAGUCUGGUUGUUUUAUUCGUGGAUGAAUAUGAAUCCUCCUCAACAACCUGUUUUCAUAUCCUUACGUACUUACCUAACUUACUGGUGCUGCUGUCCAUGAUAGUGCUGGUACACCCACCACACCACCCGAUGCAUGGUAAUAUCAUGAUCCACUCAAAUAAUCGCCAAGUAAAUAUCUUCAGCAUCCAACAUGCUGCUCUUACGUGAAAAGGUCGACCUCGCUUACUUUCCAUCGUGCCAUGCGAGGCUCAAUUAACUUGGCUUUUUGAUUUGCUGCAGCCAAGUCAGGCCAUGUAACUUCUUUUGGCGUAGAAGUCGGGGUGCCCAUUCUUAUUGUAAAGUUAUGCGUGCGAGGAUGAGUUUGAUAAAUUUAGUUGCAAAAAAAUGUCCAAACUCCUGCUACGAGAAGAAGAUGAUUCCUCCAGCACGCCAUUUUUCGUUGCAGCUGCGGCGUUACCUAUGUACCAGUAGCCGAGUACCAUGAAGAAGAUGAAGAAGGAAGAUGUGCCCAGUCAUCAAGGAAAAUUCGCUUCUACGUGAUUCCCCUACGAACACUAUAUUCUCGUAGAAUUGACUCGAUUAACUUGGGUAAUUCCAAUCAAGCUAAAGUGAGAUGGCUAAUAAUGAAUAAGGAUUUGAGAAAUAA